rnacentral:rRNA from 1 species
GUCUACUGCUACACCAACCUGAAAGAGCCCGAACUCGUCUGAUUGCGGGAGCUAAGCGGGGUCGGGCCCGGUUAGGAUUUGGAUGGAAAAGAUGCAGUGGGCA